ACUCGAGUGGCGAACGGGUGAGUAACACGUGGGUGAUCUGCCCUGCACUUCGGGAUAAGCCUGGGAAACUGGGUCUAAUACCGGAUAGGAGCCAUUUUUAGUGUGAUGGUUGGAAAGUUUUUCGGUGUAGGAUGAGCUCGCGGCCUAUCAGCUUUUUGGUAGGGUAAUGGCCUACCAAGGCGGCGACGGGUAGCCGGCCUGAGAGGGUGGACGGCCACAUUGGGACUGAGAUACGGCCCAG
rnacentral:rRNA from 1 species